rnacentral:lncRNA from 13 species
AUGGAGAAGGCAGGAAAAGAAGAAUGUGCACAGUCUGGGAUGGCAACUUCUCAUUGAUUACAAAGGCACUGUGGUACCUGCUGCCCACUGACAGCAGAAAAGCAAGAGGAUCCAGGCACCCCAAUCAGGCACUGCCAUCAAAGCACCCACAAAUCCUUCAUGAAAAGGGAUGACACUGACACAUCCUGUUUUUAUUCUCUGAUAUGCGAGUUGGUAACAGCAUGCAAACAGUCUCCAAUCAUUUAAGAGAAAGCAACACUUUCAGUGAUGUUGAUGAC